rnacentral:lncRNA from 1 species
UGCUUAUGAAAGGGAUGUGAUGUGGAUCGGGGCCAGAAGGUGUCUAGGAGGAGGAUCUAGUGUUUUCUCAUGGAUGAAAUCACACACAAAGCCUAAGUUGACGAAACUGGAGUCAAACUUGUGACCCUCCUGCCUCAGCCUUCAAGACUGCUGGAAUUACAGAGCUGUGCCACCAUGCCUGGCUAAAUCCACACGUUCAAACCAGUCAUUCUCACAGAACUGCUUGCAAAUCGCGAAGUCCCCAAAGACCACCAAGGAGCCGAUUCCGAUGCAAACACACGAGGGUCAUUUAUUCAAGCUUGAGCAGAGGCUCCCAACCGUCACCGACGCAGCGGAUCAGAAUUGAGAGCCCCGAAUUUCAAAUUAGCGGGGUUUUUAUAGAGGUUACAGCAAGGUUUGGAGAUUUUUCACUUAGCAGUUACAUGAUUGGUUAACAUUUAGCAAGCAUGAAGUGUACAUUUCUGAUUGGCUAGGUUCAUCGUGGGGGUUGAGGGGCGGUUACAUGUAGGUUUUACGAGGGAAAGGAGGGACAAAGGUUAGUGGUCAACUGUCACGUACUGAUGGUCAGCAGACACACUGACUAUUAGUCACGACCAUUACGUACUGACAGUCAGCACAUCUACAGAUUGUUCUAUGGAUAGGGGGCCCGGAACGUUCUUUUCCUAGGUACACAGAGGGUUGAGUAAUUAACUUAGGAACUUUGCUUCGUUACAGAUUGUGUCUUUUGUCCCAGAGCAGGCACAUUUUAACCAUUAAUUUGUGAGGACAAUAGAGACUAGGGGAAUAGUGGAUUUUAGCAAAAUGGAGUCGCUUUGGUCUCACAUAAUCUAUAUCUACACUUCAUAUUUUAUGAAUUGAUAUGUGAAUAACAACAGGCUGGACAAGGCAAUGCAGUGCUAUAAUCCCAGCACUCUGGGCAGCCGAGGAAGGGGAUAGUAUGCUCCAGUAGAGCCUGGACAGUUUAUCAAAAGCCUGCCUCAAAAAAGUUUACAAGAGAGAAAAAAAUUUAAAAGUCUGGAGAUGUAACUCAGUGCAAAGGACCUGCGUCUAAGCCUCAGCACCACAAGAAAAAAUAAAUUGACAGAAUGUUUACAAC